AUGACUGGCCUGAUGUUGUCCAAGCACUCCACUUCCUCAUGCCAUCAUCAGCAAAUUGUAAAGCUCCUAACACUGUGGGUAGUAGAAGCAUCAAUUGUCAACACCAACGCCUUGCCUUUAGCCAAGGACGGCUGUGAAGACCAUUGUGGCAAUGUCAGAAUUCCAUACCUAUUUGGCACAAGGGAAGGAUGCUACGUCAAUGAUAACUUUCUCAUCACUUGUAAUCACACAUACAACCCUCCCUUGGCGUUUUUGACAGGUAGUAAUAUAAAUGUGACAGACAUAUGGCUUUCGGGUGAAAUGCGCAUAUAUGCCUUAGUAGCCAAUGAUUGCUACAACAGAACUGGUGGGAGUGUAGACUACUUUCAACCUUGGUUCAGAUUGGGAAAAUUCUCAAUCUCCAACACUCGAAACAAGUUCAUGGCUAUUGUGUGUGACACAUAUGCUGUGAUAAAUGGUUCUAGAGGGACAAGCUACACAACUGGGUGCAUGUCUUUAUAUGAUGGCACGAGAGAUGUGGUUGAGCGGUCUUGCUCUGGUAUUGGUUGUGAAACUGCUAUUCCAAGAGGAGUAAUGGAUUUCAAUAUCAGUGUAUCGAGCUAUUACAACCACAAGAGAGUGGGAAUUCAAUCCUUGCAGCUAUGCUUUUGUGGCAGAGGAAGGUACUUACAACUUCUCUACAGAAGAUCUUCUAAAUUUUAAGGGAGGUCAUAUGAUGCCGAUGGUGCUAAAUUGGGGAAUAGGAGAUCAAAAUUGCAGUGAAGCUAAAAAGAGUUUUGAAAGUUAUGCAUGCAUGGCUAACAGUGAGUGUCAUGACUCGGACAAUGGUCCAGGGUACCAAUGCAGUUGUUCCAAGGGAUACCAAGGCAAUCCUUACCUUAAGGAUGGCUGCCAAGAUAUUGAUGAGUGCUUAAAUUCCACCACAUGCGUCCAAAACUGCACCAAUUUGCCUGGUACUUAUAAUUAUUCCUGUCAGCUACCAGGAUAUGAUGGCGAUGGUAAAUGGGAUGGAACAGGUUGCAAACUCAUACCAAGCCCUGGGAGGUUUCCAUUGAUUAAUAGGAAUUCGCUAGUAAUGUCUGGGAUAAAGGUUAAGCCUUGUUGUGAUGACAAGUGUCUUCAACCAAAACUUCAAUUCGUUGCAAAAUGUGUAGGUGUUAGUGUCAGCCUGGUGGUUCUAGUUUUGGGCGUUUCUUGGUUAUACUGGGGACUCGAGCAAAGAAAGCUCAUCAAGCUCAAAGAGAAGUUUUUUAAACAAAAUGGUGGCUUUCUACUGCAACAACAACUUUCUAAGCACAAUGGAUCUAUUGAGGCAACUCAAAUAUUUACAGUAGAAGAACUUAAGAAGGCAACAAACAAUUACCAAGAAAAUAGAAUCCUAGGCCAAGGAGGCCAAGGAACGGUUUACAAAGGAAUAUUACCAGAUAACAAAAUAGUUGCCAUUAAGAAGUCCAAAAUAAUAGAUCAAAGCCAAGUUGAACAAUUUAUUAAUGAAGUGUCUAUUCUCUCCCAAAUUAACCAUAGAAAUGUGGUAAAGUUAUUGGGAUGUUGUUUGGAGACCGAAGUUCCUUUGUUGGUGUAUGAAUUUGUUACCAAUGGUACCCUUUUCAAUCACAUUCACAAAACGGACCGUUCUUCAACGUUGCAAUGGCAAUUAUGUUUACAAAUAGCAGUUGAAACUGCAGGAGCACUUUCUUAUUUGCAUUAUGCUGCAUCCACUCCCAUCAUUCAUAGAGAUAUCAAGAGCACUAAUGUACUCUUAGACGAUAAUUACAAAGCUAAGGUAUCUGAUUUUGGAGCUUCGAGGCUAGUUCUCUUGAUCAUACUCAGUUAACCACACUAGUGCAAGGGACGCUUGGAUACUUGGAUCCAGAAUACUUUCAUUCAAGCCAAUUGACUAGAAAAAGCGACGUUUAUAGCUUUGGAGUUCUCCUAGCAGAGUUGCUAACUGGAAUGAAGGCACUUUCUUUUGAGAGACCUGGAGAAGAAAGAAACUUAGCCAUGCAUUUUGUCUUAUCAAUGAAUGAAAGCCGAUUGUUUGAAAUUCUAGAUCAACAAAUGCUGAAUGAGGGAAAUGUUGAGCAACUUAAUGAAGUUGCGAUGUUAGCUAAGAGAUGCUUAAAAGUGAAGGGAGAGGAGAGGCCUACUAUGAAAGAAGUUGCAAUGGAGUUAGAGGGCUUGAAAGCAAUGACAAAGCAUCCAUGGGUUAAAGGCAAUAUGAGCUCAGAAGAGACUGAGUACACUCUCCAAAAACCAUAUGAUGAUUGUGUUAGUGGUGUCAGUGGUAAUUCUACAUGUUAUGACAGCAUAAGGAACCAAGUCAGCAUAUCAAUACUUGAUGAUGGCAGAUAA